rnacentral:lncRNA from 1 species
GACACAUCCUGGAUAACUACGGGAGAAUGGGCCAGGCUGAGAGCUUGAUCUUACAUGUAUGGUACAGGCAAGGCGUGUAAAAAUUUUGAGGUGCUAAGACAAGCCCUAGCUGCUUUGGCUCUUCCAAACUCACUGCUCUUUCCUUUCUCCUGGAGGGAUAUUCAAGGAGCUGCAUUUCUAUACACACGUUCAAGAUUUUAUGAAGACAGGCAGACAGUGAAGAGAGCGUGGGCAUUGGACUCAAACCAAUCAGACAGACCCGCAUCAGGAACCCAGUGCGGCUACUCCCUAAGCUGUAUGUUUGUAAGGACACUGUUUCCCCUCUUUGAACUACAGUAUGCAUCUGUAGACUAGGGACAGCAGCAGCACCUUCCUCCGCAUGUCAGGAAACUACCAUCGUGUGUGGCAAACUACCAUCGUGUGUGUAGUAGGUGCGCUAUAAAUAUUUACUUUUCAUUUUACCCUAAGUAAGAGCAUUUAUGGUCAAGUUAAAGAGCUACAGU